rnacentral:rRNA from 1 species
GACGAACGCUGGCGGCGUGCCUAAUACAUGCAAGUCGAACGAGUGGCGGACGGGUGAGUAACACGUGGGUGACCUGCCCUGCACUUCGGGAUAAGCCUGGGAAACUGGGUCUAAUACCGGAUAGUGUGGGAUGGGCCCGCGGCCUAUCAGCUUGUUGGUGGGGUAAUGGCUACCAAGGCGCGACGGGUAGCCGGCCUGAGAGGGUGGACGGCCACAGUGGGACUGAGACACGGCCCAGACUCCUACGGGAGGCAGCAGUGGGGAAUAUUGCACAAUGGGCGCAAGCCUGAUGCAGCCAUGCCGCGUGUAUGAAGAAGGCCUUAGGGUUGUAAAGUACUUUCAGCGGGGAGGCGUUACCCGCAGAAGAAGCACCGGCUAACUCCGUGCCAGCAGCCGCGGUAAUAC